rnacentral:lncRNA from 1 species
GGAGCGUUUGUGAAUGUCACAAUGUGCCCCAGUAGUACAGUAAUAAAACCUUUCCAACUUCAGAAACCUCUCUCUCCCAACCUGUCUGUCCCCUCCAAGUGCCAUGAGCUGUGCAGAGCAUUUCCUGUGACGUUUCUGUACGCGCCUGGCAUGAACUUUGGGCCUCGGUUUAACAGCAAAGGGACCCAAAGGCCACCAGGAGCCGGCUGGACUCCAUCUCCUCAUAGUGGCUGGGAUCGGCUGUGACAAAGGACUGCUGAGGUCAUGAGGAUGCACCUGGGUUCUGCCUGUCCAAUGAAAGAUGGGCUGUUGUAGAAAGAAGGGGUCCCACUGUCAACCCUGGGUACAGUUCCUUGUCACUACGAUAAUUAUGAAUUCCUCACUGUCACCUCCUUCCUGUCAUUUGACUGGCCUUUCUGCUUUAAAUGGCAAAAACACAUUUAAUUUUAGAUCUGAAGGGACCUGGAUCUUGAAACCAGGAAACAAAUUUGUGAAGUGACUCAGCAGCCAGCUGGUGACGCCCCCGCGACAGCUCAGAUUUCUGAGCAAGGCUAUAUUUUUAAAGCAAUGCAGCCCUACACCAAACUAAUUAUAGGCUUGGUCCACAGUGUAUCUCGUAAUUAAAUAUUUCUCUCAACGUCCAGGAGAAACUGUACAGAGUCCUUAUUGUGGAAGGCUGGUGUUGGGAAGGGAGCGUCCUAAAAAAAGUGUGAAUCUUUGGGGGAAAAAAAGCUUUUUUUCAACAAUCAAAUUUUAUCUUCCACUUAAGGAGAUGGGUAUAAAUGUCACAAUGUACCCCCCGAAUAAUGAUAAUAAUUUUUAAAAGAAGGAGAUGGAGUUCAUAGAGCGUGGAAGGUGGGUGGUGGGGGCUGGGGUGAGUGCGUCAGUGGUUGCAGGAUGGAGUUCUGGGGACAGGUGGGGACCACAUGGCACAGCCGCUGCCCUGAACGUAACACUUCUAACACGUCUGCCCAGCACGCUUAAAAAUGGCAACUUUUACCACCAUUUAAGAGCAAGAAUAGAUGAAAACAGAGCCCAAAUUCUUUAAAUAACUUGGAAAUGAGGGCGAGCUGGACAGGAAGUCGGUGAGGUGGUUGUUUUUAAGCCCAGGCCAGCAGGGCGUGUUCUGCCGGUACAAAAGCCUGUGUGUCAACAGGAAAAAGGACACAGCCCCUCCCCGGGCUCCUCUGUCACCUCUGGCCCACAGAUCCUCGGUGACCCCGUUGGGUUGUAUAACCGAUGACAAGACGCAGAACCUUCCAGGCAGAACCUCUCCUGUCCCCUUCAGUUAGGGACUAAGACAGUUGUUAAUGAUGGAGGGGGGGUGAAUUUAGCCAAGAUUUGUCACAAGCACUUUGGUAAAUGUCACAGCAUACCCCAGGACAAUGAUUUAAUAAAAAAAUUAAAAAAACCCA